ensembl:snRNA U6 U6 spliceosomal RNA
AAGCUCAUUUCAGCAGCACAUAAAUGAAAAUUGGAAUGAUACAGAGAAAAUUAGCAUGGCCCCUGCAGAAAGAUGACAUGCAAAUUCAUGAAGCAUUCCAUAUUUUA